AACGCGAAGAACCUUACCUGGGCUUGACAUGUUCCUGACCGCCAUGGAAACAUGGUUUCCCUUCGGGGCAGGAUCACAGGUGGUGCAUGGCUGUCGUCAGCUCGUGUCGUGAGAUGUUGGGUUAAGUCCCGCAACGAGCGCAACCCCCGUCGUAUGUUGCCAGCAUUUAGUUGGGGACUCAUGCGAGACCGCCGGUGACAAACCGGAGGAAGGUGGGGAUGACGUCAAGUCAUCAUGCCCCUUAUGCCCAGGGCUACACACGUGCUACAUUGGCGCGUACAGAGGGCUGCGAUACCGCGAGGUGGAGCGAAUCCCUCAAAGCGCGUCUCGGUUCGGAUUGGAGGCUGAAACUCGCCUCCAUGAAGGCGGAGUUGCUAGUAAUCGCGGAUCAGCACCGCCGCGGUGAAUACGUUCCCGGGCCUUGUACACACCGCUGUA
rnacentral:rRNA from 1 species